rnacentral:lncRNA from 1 species
CGGUAAGGGAAUCAACAACCAAAAUAAUAACGUUCCGGUAAGGGAAUAAACAACAGAAACAUUAAUGUUCCGGCAAGGGAAUCAACAACAGAAACAUUAACAUCCUGGCAAGGGAAUCAACAACAUAAAUAAUAACAUCCCGGUAAGGGAAUCAAUAAUAGAAACAAUAACUUCCCGGCAAGGGAAUCAACAAUACCUAAUAAGGUCACGGAACACCAAGGAAAAAAGACAAUAACCUCAAUGACAUAACAAGAUAAGAAUAAGUGCGUAAUAACUACACUGAUACCAUAACAGUUGGACAUGUAAUAUAUUUGCACGAAACAACAGAUGAACUUACAAUCAAGGAGUAUCCAAACAGUAAGGAAGUUAACAUGAAUCAAAUAAUUACAAUUUAAGGAAAUAUCAACUAAUCAUAAGAUACAUAUCUUCUUUCCAAUUAAGACCGAUUAAUUACAUGAGAUAUAACAUUUAUGAUUUCCAAAUAAAGGCGAGCUGUUAGGAUGGAUAAUAUGACUAUAGAAAGAUAAUUGUCUUUAGUUAAACACGUAAAAGUCAAUUAAACGGAAAUAAUAAAUCGAAAAGGGCAAACAAAUACCAAAUAAGACAUAUAGGGGUGAAACUCAUAACAGGGAACUCAAUCGUAUCAAUAUCAUUAUCACACUCGGGGAUUUCAAGGGUCUAAGAGCCGAAAGGGGGCAAUUUACCACAAAUAAAUCCGAGCACGCACUCGUCACCUCACGUACAUGGAAUACAAUCAACAGAGAAGACUCAAAUCCUAAGGGGAAGUCCCCCACACAAGUUUAGGCAAGAUAGUUACCUCAAACCAGCUAAAAUCAACUAGCAACUAUGUUCUAGCCACGAGUUCUUGACUCCAAAUGGCCCAAAUCUAUUCAAUUAAAU